rnacentral:sRNA from 1 species
GCUGGGUGUGGUGGCGCAUUCCUAUAAUCCCUACAACUUGAGAGGCUGAGGCAGGAGAAUAGCAGGUUCAAGGUCAGUCUCAGCAACUUAGGUCCUAAGCAACUCAGCAGGACUCUGUCUCAA